rnacentral:rRNA from 1 species
CAAUAGCGUAUACUAAAGUUGUUGCAGUUAAAAAGCUCGUAGUUGAAUUUCUGGUCUUGGACGGCGGUCUACCACAAUUGUGGUACGUACCAACUGUCCGAGUCCAUCCUCGGGGAAAACAUGCCUGUGAUUCAGUUCAUGGGUAUGGGAUCCUCGUCAUUUACUGUGAGCAAAAUAGAGUGUUCAAAGCAGGCUUAUGCCGUUGAAUACAUUAGCAUGGAAUAAUAAGAUAGGACCUUGGUCUAUUUUGUUGGUUGUACUCCAAGGUAAUGAUUAAUAGGGACAGUUGGGGGCAUUCAUAUUCCAAUGUCAGAGGUGAAAUUCUUGGAUUAUCGGAAGAUGAACUUCUGCGAAAGCAUCUGCCAAGGAUGUUUUCAUUGAUCAAGAACGAAAGUUAGGGGAUCGAAGAUGAUCAGAUAC